UAAGAUGUGACUUUUAAUUGAUUAGUCAAAGACCUUUAUGAGUGGGGACCAGUCUCUCUGUGCUUCCUGCAAACAGGUAAAUUUGGUGAAUAGAACCACGCACAGCACAUCAAGUGCAUCCUAUAUAAACUGUCACUGAAAAAAAAGGAAUCAAGCAGGAAAGACCCAAAUCGGUAUUAAGAAAUGUGUUGUUGACAGACAGUGCAAGAUGGCCCAUCAACAUGUUGUUCCUAGUCUUUGGAAUGGGACAGCUUCCAUGUAACACUGAGGCAUAUCAGGAUUAAUGGGCAGCAACUGUCCAGCUCGUGUCCCAGUAUGUGGAUCGCUUGCUGAGAUGAAGUCCGGGA